rnacentral:rRNA from 1 species
AUGAACGCUAGCUACAGGCUUAACACAUGCAAGUCGAGGGGCAGCAUGGUCUUAGCUUGCUAAGGCCGAUGGCGACCGGCGCACGGGUGAGUAACGCGUAUCCAACCUGCCUUACACUCUUGGACAGCCUUCUGAAAGGGAGAUUAAUACAAGAUGUUAUCAUGAGUAAGCAUUUUCGCAUGAUUAAAGGUUUACCGGUGUAAGAUGGGGAUGCGUUCCAUUAGAUAGUAGGCGGGGUAACGGCCCACCUAGUCUUCGAUGGAUAGGGGUUCUGAGAGGAAGGUCCCCCACAUUGGAACUGAGACACGGUCCAAACUCCUACGGGAGGCAGCAGUGAGGAAUAUUGGUCAAUGGACGAGAGUCUGAACCAGCCAAGUAGCGUGAAGGAUGAAGGUUCUAUGGAUUGUAAACUUCUUUUAUACGGGAAUAAACGGAUCCACGUGUGGAUUUUUGCAUGUACCGUAUGAAUAAGGAUCGGCUAACUCCGUGCCAGCAGCCGCGGUAAUACGGAGGAUCCGAGCGUUAUCCGGAUUUAUUGGGUUUAAAGGGAGCGUAGAUGGGUUGUUAAGUCAGUUGUGAAAGUUUGCGGCUCAACCGUAAAAUUGCAAUUGAUACUGGCAGUCUUGAGUACAGUUGAGGUAGGCGGAAUUCGUGGUGUAGCGGUGAAAUGCUUAGAUAUCACGAAGAACUCCGAUUGCGAAGGCAGCUUACUAACCUGUAACUGACAUUGAUGCUCGAAAGUGUGGGUAUCAAACAGGAUUAGAUACCCUGGUAGUCCACACGGUAAACGAUGAAUACUCGCUGUAGGCGAUAUACAGUCUGCGGCCAAGCGAAAGCAUUAAGUAUUCCACCUGGGGAGUACGCCGGCAACGGUGAAACUCAAAGGAAUUGACGGGGGCCCGCACAAGCGGGGGAACAUGUGGUUUAAUUCGAUGAUACGCGAGGAACCUUACCCGGGCUUAAAUUGCAACCGAAUAUGGCGGAAACGCUAUAGCUAGCAAUAGCGGUUGUGAAGGUGCUGCAUGGUUGUCGUCAGCUCGUGCCGUGAGGUGUCGGCUUAAGUGCCAUAACGAGCGCAACCCUUGCCGAUAGUUACUAACAGGUUAUGCUGAGGACUCUGUCGGGACUGCCAUCGUAAGAUGUGAGGAAGGUGGGGAUGACGUCAAAUCAGCACGGCCCUUACGUCCGGGGCUACACACGUGUUACAAUGGGGGGUACAGAGGGCUGCUACCACGCAAGUGGAUGCCAAUCCCAAAAACCUCUCUCAGUUCGGAUUGAAGUCUGCAACCCGACUUCAUGAAGCUGGAUUCGCUAGUAAUCGCGCAUCAGCCACGGCGCGGUGAAUACGUUCCCGGGCCUUGUACACACCGCCCGUCAAGCCAUGGGAGCCGGGGGUACCUGAAGUGCGUAACCGCAAGGAGCGCCCUAGGGUAAAACUGGUGACUGGGGCU